AACGUAGGAGACAAACGUUAUCCGGAGUUACUGGGCGUAAAGGGCGUGUAGGUGGUUGCGUAAGUCUGGCGUGAAAUUUUUCGGCUUAACCGGGAAAGGUCGUCGGAUACUGCGUAGCUAGAGGACGGUAGAGGCGUGUGGAAUUCCGGGUGUAGUGGUGAAAUGCGCAGAUAUCAGGAAGAACACCCGUGGCGAAGGCGGCUCUCGUGGGACGGUACUGACGCUGAGACGCGAAAGCGUGGGGAGCGAACAGG
rnacentral:rRNA from 1 species